rnacentral:ncRNA from 1 species
UCUUAUCAAGAGAGGUAGAGGGACUGGCCCGAUGACACCUCAGCAACCAGCAUAAAGAUGUAUGGUGCUAAUUCCAGGCGGCUAACUACCGACAGAUGAGA